rnacentral:ncRNA from 2 species
AAUGACCACUAGGGGAGCCUUUGUGUAGGCUGAGACGGGAAGAUCCCGGACCCUUGGAACCUGAUCUAGUUCAUACUAGCGUAGGAAAGUGGAGACUGUGCAAG